rnacentral:rRNA from 1 species
GAGUUUGAUUAUGGCUCAGAUUGAACGCUGGCGGCAUGCCUUACACAUGCAAGUCGAACGGCAGCGGGCCCUUCGGGGUGCCGGCAAGUGGCGAACGGGUGAGUAACACAUCGAACGUACCCUGUGGUGGGGGAUAACCCGUCGAAAGACGGGCUAAUACCGCAUAAGCUCUGCGGAGGAAAGCGGGGGACCGUCAAGGCCUCGCGCCACAGGAGCGGCCGAUGUCCGAUUAGCUAGUUGGUAGGGUAAAAGCCUACCAAGGCGACGAUCGGUAGCGGGUCUGAGAGGAAGGCCCGCCACACUGGGACUGAGACACGGCCCAGACUCCUACGGGAGGCAGCAGUGGGGAAUCUUGGACAAUGGGGGAAACCCUGAUCCAGCAAUGCCGCGUGGGUGAAGAAGGCCUUCGGGUUGUAAAGCCCUUUUAGCGGGGAAGAAAUCGGCUAGGUGAAUAAUCUAGCUGGAUGACGGUACCUGCAGAAAAAGCACCGGCUAACUACGUGCCAGCAGCCGCGGUAAUAC